AGGACGAACGCUGGCGGCGUGCUUAACACAUGCAAGUCGAACGGAAAGGCCCUUCGGGGUUACUCGGGUGGCGAACGGGUGAGUAACACGUGAGCAAUCUGCCCCUAGCUCUGGGAUAGCUCCGGGAAACCGGGAUUAAUACCAGAUAUUACUACGGCCGACAUCAGCUGUGGUGGAAAGAAUUUCGGCUAGGGAUGAGCUCGCGGCCUAUCAGCUUGUGGUGGGUAAAGGCCCACCAAGGCGACGACGGGUA
rnacentral:rRNA from 1 species